CACUGCAACCAAAUCAACCUGAACGUGCUCAAUCUGGUUGGACCUCGGCAGCUCAGCAGGUUGGAACCUGGUGAGUUCUUGGAUGGGUGACCACCAGGACUCGCCAGGCGUUAUAGGCG
rnacentral:rRNA from 1 species